rnacentral:rRNA from 1 species
AUGUCGUGGAGUUCAGGGGCUUCUUCCGCUCCCGGAUUCUGCCGCGCCAGUGGAAGGAGGGAGACGGACUCGAGGUCUCCUGUAGCUUACAGGGAGAGCCCAAUGGCGUACGAGCCGCCGAAGAUGUGCCAUUGCAGACAGCCGCGCAAGGCGCCAAGAUGGAUCUUGUGGAGCCGCCAAAACCCCGGCAGGAGGUACUACGCCUGUGUGGAUGCAAUGGUGAGCCCCAUUUUCUGUGUUUCUGCUGCUCUUUUCUUGCUCUUAGUUUGUGAUUGA